rnacentral:rRNA from 1 species
UGAACGCUGGCGGCGUGCUUAACACAUGCAAGUCGAACGGAGUUUACCACCAUGAUUUCUUCGGAAUGAUAAUGGUAAACUUAGUGGCGGACGGGUGAGUAACGCGUGGGUAACCUGCCUCACACUGGGGGACAACAGUUGGAAACGACUGCUAAUACCGCAUAAGCGCACAGCAUCGCAUGAAGCAGUGUGAAAAACUCCGGUGGUGUGAGAUGGACUCGCGUCCGAUUAGCUAGAUGGUGAGGUAACGGCCCACCAUGGCGACGAUCGGUAGCCGGACUGAGAGGUUGAACGGCCACAUUGGGACUGAGACACGGCCCAAACUCCUACGGGAGGCAGCAGUGGGGAAUAUUGCACAAUGGGCGAAAGCCUGAUGCAGCGACGCCGCGUGAGCGAAGAAGUAUUUCGGUAUGUAAAGCUCUAUCAGCAGGGAAGAUAAUGACGGUACCUGACUAAGAAGCACCGGCUAAAUACGUG